rnacentral:rRNA from 1 species
UACGUAGGGGGCAAGCGUUGUCCGGAAUUAUUGGGCGUAAAGAGCGUGUAGGCGGUCCGGUAAGUCAGCUGUGAAAGUCAAGGGCUCAACCCUUGAAUGCCGGUUGAUACUGUCGGGCUAGAGUCCGGAAGAGGCGAGUGGAAUUCCCGGUGUAGCGGUGAAAUGCGCAGAUAUCGGGAGGAACACCAAUGGCGAAGGCGGCUCUCUGGGUCCGCCCUGACGCUGAGGCGCGAAAGCGUGGGGAGCGAACGGG